GAUCCUGGCUCAGAGUGAACGCUGGCGGCAGGCCUAAUACAUGCAAGUCGAACGGCAGCACAGCAGAGCUUGCUCUGGUGGGUGGCGAGUGGCGGACGGGUGAGGAAUACAUGGGAAUCUGCCCAGUCGUGGGGGAUAACGUAGGGAAACUUACGCUAAUACCGCAUGCGCCCUUCGGGGGAAAGCCGGGGACCUUCGGGCCUGGCGCGAUUGGAUGAGCCCAUGUCGGAUUAGCUAGUUGGCGGGGUAAUGGCCCACCAAGGCGACGAUCCGUAGCUGGUCUGAGAGGAUGAUCAGCCACACUGGAACUGAGACACGGUCCAGACUCCUACGGGAGGCAGCAGUAGGGAAUAUUGGACAAUGGGCGCAAGCCUGAUCCAGCCAUGCCGCGUGAGUGAAGAAGGCCCUCGGGUUGUAAAGCUCUUUUGUCCGGAAAGAAAAGCGCCGGGUUAAUACCCUGGUGUCCUGACGGUACCGGAAGAAUAAGCACCGGCUAACUUCGUG
rnacentral:rRNA from 1 species